GAUGGCCUAAGGAACUUGAGCCUACGGUACUUGAAUACUCGUUCUCCAGGGAAGCUGAGACAGGUCAUCUUAUCUGGUGGCAGUCGUCUGCAGGAUCGCUGUCACUCAUUCUAGUACCUUUAACAGACGUUUGUUAAGCAACAUGUGCUUCUGUGGCCCUGCGGUAAAUGCUGCCCUUAAAAAAGGGAGAUGAGAAAGUUUUGAAACCACUAGAGGACGAUAUAACACAACACAAUCCACCGUGAAUUUGGGCAGUGGAUGCUACAAAAAGCCAGGAAAGAGAAGGGGAGCGCUGCGCCCUGGAACGACUGGGGAAGAAGGCAGGCAUCAGAUGAGUGUCUGCAUGAUUUUUGAUAAUGGCUAUGAGGAACAAAUAUUGCAGAUGGAUCAAACCAAAGAAUCACACUCAAAGCUGGAUUAAAGAGUCAUGAAAAGAAGGGAGAGGAAGAAAUGAAGAAACAAGAGAAUUAUAGAAGUAAAAUAUGCAGUUUAUUAUUGAAAAGAAAUCUGCCAUUUGAAUAAAGACCAAACAGCUUUUCAUUGUUUCACCCCACAUGGCUACAUUUUUUUUGAGCAGCAAGUCCCAAGAUCAAGAAACCAGAAGACUUUGACUAAUUAGUAGUCAUGGAAAUUUACUACACCAACAACAAAUUUAUCAGGCAAUUUCAUUUCCAAAGCACGUUUGUGCAUGUCACAGCUUUUGUUUUAGGUUCUAGGGAUUGUCAGUGGAGUUUGUUCCGAGGAGACCAUAGAUGAAGAAACCAGCUGUAAGACUGAACAAGGAAAGAUUGCCAUUCGUGUUUUUAUAUCAGCCUUCAUUUUAUGAGGUUUGUAAGUAGUUUAUCAAAUAUUCUGGCAAAAUAGAUCAGUAUAAGGCAGUUUUCUCUGCUAGGAAGCCUGCCACGUAGAGGAAUGAGAAGACUGGACUUAGAGUGAUAAGAAUCUGUUUCCAGCCUGACAUUGCCAGUACUCCCUGUGAAAUCUUGAUUAAGCCAAUUAUCCUUUCCUUGAUGUCAGUUUUCUUAUUUGUCAAGUGAGUGUUUGGAGUGAAUGAUCUCACAAGAAUCCUUGCAUCCAAAAUUAUUUGAUUCUAUGAAAUUGCUUCAGUUUUUAUAUAAUAAAACUCAUAUAUAGGAACA
rnacentral:lncRNA from 1 species